AAUUUUCAGUCAUCCGACACCACCUCCGCUCUGGUGUCGUCACAGCAGCCGGAGCUGAAACCUCUGCCGGGUAGAAAUGUUCACCAGAGCAAGGAAACAAUCAUUGUGUCACAUCAGAGCCGUCACACCCGGUUUGACAUCUUUAACCCUGCAGAGACUGGGUGUGAACUGUCUCACUCCUCUGUGGUGGCUGCUCAAGGAUCUGUCAGCGAGACGGCUGGUUAACUAGGUCGUCUUUCACUCCUGUCACUACCUGGCAUCACCGUCUUGUCGCAGGCCAGGCACUUGGAGGAGAACUCGUUGCAGAAGCAGUCGCUGCACACGAGCGCGUCUUCCUGGCUGGUGAAGGGCUCGUCUGCCAGGGAGCGGUCGCAGCGGAAGCAGCGAAAGCAGUGCGAGUGGUAAUGUCUGUUCUCAUAGGAGAGCUCCUGCAGGGGGGGGGAGAGGGAGAGGGAGGGGGUCACAGGGGGCAAAGAGAGAUUGACAAACUUCUCAGGAUCUAAGUGGAGAAACUCUAUGAUCGCAUUUAGAAAUACCCUAGUCAAAACAUUUGCUUCCUGAAGAAGACAUCAGCGUAAGAGGCAUUCAAAACAAACUAGGAUGGCUUUCAGUAAAGAGCGAUGGCUAGGCCCGGCGGUCCCUUCGAUUCUGCACCAAAACCAUCAUGUUCAUGUAUUUUUCAUUUGGAUCUGCAUCAAAUUGGACACACUCAAAGAUAACAGUCCACUAAAUGAGCUGGAUUUGCAGAUAAUCAAGAAGAUCUGUGAAUUAUGGACAAAUGAAAUCGAUGAAAGUGUCAAAAAAACUAAUGUUCUAAUGUUAAAGAAGGUGUUAUGAUACUUCCUGGAUCCUGGAGUGUACAGCUCCACCACAGUACCCUGAAUAUGUCUGUUUCAUCAAGUUCAGUGAAUUAAAUUAAGUUCUCUCUUGGCCCAUUUUCCAUCCUUCCACUAAGUUUUGUAGAAAUCAGUUCGGUAAUUUUUUGCAUUAUCCUGCUGACAAACAAACAAACAAACAACCAAAAUGUAUGAACAGGGGUGAAAGCAUAACCUCCCUGUUGGAAGUAUAUACAUUAGUUUAAAAAGGAUAAAUCGAAACCUGUGUUAAAGAUUGUGGCUUCUACAUUUAAAGCUGCUCUGGUGCUCAGUGGAAAGUAAAUAUAGAUUAGACUAUUUUGUAAAAUGAGAUAAAACCAUUUCAACAUUCAAAAUUAAAAGUUUUGUUUAUGGUGGUUGAAGUUGGUUUAAAAAUAAAGCUGGAUGUUUCUUCAGUCAGGCAGUUUGUGGUUGUGGUGUUUCUCUGCAGUUUCCUCUGAGGGAGACUCAAUGUGCUUCCCCUCAUCCGCUCACAGGUCAGAGGUCACGGUCAGCUACAGGAUCCAGUUUCCCACACAAGGACACUUCAGUGCUUUGGAUGUUUGCCGACGCGAGAGGCUGAAACCCAAAGAGCUUUCCUUUUCUUUUUUCUGCUCCUACGACAUCCUGCUGCCCUCCAAGAAAAAGAGUUAACGCGAGAAACACACAAACAUGAGAGAAAAAUCCACUUUCUCUUCUUUAUCUCCUUAAAUUGUUCUCUUCAACAGCUGCUCGAGUUCCAGUUCAUGUGGUCAGCUCCGUGACAAAUUGCUCCAUCGACCGGUGGGGGGAAAAACUUAUCUUUUGAAGGAUAGGGUUUCACAGUAAAAAAAAAAAACAACAACAUGCUGCGAGGGGCUGAGGACGAAUGUUGAGGGAACGGGCCAAAGCAAGCAGCGGCCUGAUUUACUGCCAGGCCCUCGCAGGGAGUCCAUAACUCACAGGACGCCGAUGGCCUCAUGGCGUCUGUGGGUGUCUCCUCCGGGACGCUGUUCUUCAUUUUCACUAACUAAAAGGCAUUCGGGGCUGUUAGAGGAGAUUACAGACAAUCUGAUGUUCUGUCAGAGCAGCUGAGGUUUCUCAGGGAACACCAGCUGGUUCCACAGCAGUUCGGAGAAUGAUCAUAAGAGGAAGAGGUGGGGCCUUCUCAUGAUCUCUGUCUCUUAAGUAGUGAUAUUACACUGUAGAAAUAUUCAACUCAAAGUUAAGUCCUUAGUUUUAAGUGGUACUUGAGAAAAGUACCUAAAGGUUACAGCUUCUGCGAGGAGGUUAUGUUUUUGCAAGAUUCCUCAAAAACUACUAAAGUGAUUUCUCUGAAAGCGGAGGAAGGAUGGAACAAGAGCCUAGAGAGAACACGUUUUAUCCCUGUCUUCAUCAUUUGCCAUUCUAAAGCAAAGUACAAAUACUCAAAUUCCAGUGCAGCAGUUGAGUACAUGUACUUCAGUUCCGUUCGUUCUCACCUUGGCGUUGUGGCCGAUGAGUUCCUUGCACUCCUGGCAGGUGUGGGCGUGCAGGCGGUCGUAGCAGGGCACGCAGUGAGGGCUGUCCUCCACCUGGAUGUAUUUGCGUCCGUACAGGGACUCGUUGCAGUUUUUGCAGUCGAAGCGGUCACUCAUGAUGCCUGUCUCUGUUUUUUCUGGCUGAUCAACUGAAAAACAAAGAAAUCCCAGACGCAGGUGAAGGAGAACCUCAGGCCUCCAGGCUUCACACGGACCAGGAGAUGAAACCAGAAACCUGUGGGUGACGUCAUGGAGGCUUCACUGAUCUUCACACUCAGUCUAUGAGCGGAACAAUCUCUAACAAGCGUCAUGGCCACUGUCAGAAAGAUGAAAACUGGAACAUGAAGAGAAAGAACAGGAGACGCCCAAACACGGAGCCCUGGGGGACGCCUGAGGAGCAGCGAUGGGGGACCAGUUACUGAUGGGGAUGACCUGGUGUCAGUCUGGGAGAUGUUCAAAGCUGGGAGAGAAGAGGAGGAGCUUGAUGGUGAAACUUCCCAAUAGAGUCAUUAAAAUGAUUUAGGACGCAAGAGAAGGAAACAGAACGCCAGGAGAUAUUGUUGUGCAGUUUAAAUGUAAAGAAUGGAGAUGACUGAUUGAAGACUGAAGGGUUGAUUCAUUGUAAAUUUUCACCCUAAAGAUAUAACCGCUUCUCUCAUUACCUCGUUUCUCACCAACCAGUGAAAGCUCGUGAUGGCGGCCUCUCCCUCCCACUCAUUCUUGUUUGAAACCCCCUGCGGCACGUUUGGCAUUGAGACGGAACAACUAAACAAUAUUAAUUGUUGGGAGCUGGAGUGAAACAGAGUUCUCAAUUUCAAAGUGUCUCUCUCUCUCUCUCUCUCUCUCUCUCUCUCGGCUUUCUUUCCUCUGUGUUUGGUUUCUGUUUUAAAGGGCACUCGUUUAUCUAGUUCACUUCUUUUGUCCACACCUCACUUGUGAAUGUGUAACAAUCAUUUACUGUUCAAAAGAAAAUAACAAAAAUCCUAAACUGGUAAUGACAUGUUGAUUUUGCUAAAUGUAUUUUAAUCCAAUCAAAUUACAGCGAUCUUGUCAGUUAUAAAUCUAAUCUAAACAUUUUGAGGUUUCUCAAUCAUCUCAAGUGCGUGUCCAGAAUUUUGCCUCUUGAUUAAAUCUUAACAAAACCAACAGUUGUUUUUCUUUUCAAAAACUGCUGAGGAAUAAAAUGCCUUUCCCGCACACACUUCGUAAUUGCAGCUUCUAAAAGCACAACUUGUCCUUUUCUCAAUAAAAUCUUUAAAUCUCAA